rnacentral:rRNA from 1 species
CCUACGGGCGGCAGCAGUGGGGAAUAUUGCACAAUGGGGGAAACCCUGAUGCAGCGACGCCGCGUGAGUGAAGAAGUAUUUCGGUAUGUAAAGCUCUAUCAGCAGGGAAGAAAAUGACGGUACCUGAUUACGAAGCCCCGGCUAACUACGUGCCAGCAGCCGGGGGAAUACGUAGGGGGCAAGCGUUAUCCGGAUUUACUGGGGGUAAAGGGAGCGUAGACGGUGAUGCAAGUCAGCAGUGAAAGGCCGGGGCCCAACUCCGGGACUGCUUUUGAAACUGUGUGACUGGAGUGCAGGAGAGGUACGCGGAAUUCCUGGUGUAGCGGUGAAAUGCGUAGAUAUCGGGAGGAACACCAGUGGCGAAGGCGGCUUACUGGACUGUAACUGACGUUGAGGCUCGAAAGCGUGGGGAGCAAACAGGAUUAGAUACCCGAGUAGUC